UCUUAAAAAAAACUCAUGCUCUCAUAACUAAAAAUGUUGAGUAACAAACCAACUUAAUUAGAAAGCAAUGAUUUAAGCCAAGUGACUAUACUAAACCCAAUAUCUAUAUAGGGCGGGAGGGUUAAUGACUACGUCUUACCAUCGUUCUUAGUUGGCUUACAAAGUCGAACACAAAUAACGCAAACAUAAAUAUAAGCGCAAAACACCAUGUAAAGCGUUAGUCAAUAUAAAUGUAUGCAUAUAUGAAAGAAACGUGAAGCUUUGAAAUAAGGAGGAAACGCUGGAUGCUAUUGACGCGAAAGUGGGCUGCUAGACACGAGCUUUAUGCGGCUAUUAGUCGCUUCUCUGGUUUGGGCAGAGAUGGAGUCAUAUACUAACUCCAAACGCGCUCCCGAGUGUACAUGUGCAAAAGUAAGAUAAAAGAAAUUAGCAAAUGAGCUUCAAACUUAUGAAGAACAAAUCAAAAUGAACUUCACAUAGUCGCCUGGUAAAACAAAUUUGAAUCAACUUAAACCAACAAACACAUUUGUAGACAUGAUUUUUACAACUUAAUAUCUUUCUAAGAUUCAUGUGAAGUUAGAUAUGGAGUAUAUGGUUUAGGAGUAUUUAUUUAUCCUUUGAGCCUAGCAAGAGAAGCAAACAAUUAUAACACAUAUAGUUUCUAAGGAAUAGACACAAUCUGCAUUUAGAACCAUUUUCUAAGAAGUAGAGAAAGGAUAUUAUAAAUAUUUCUGCCGAUUGUUAAGUAGAGCUAGACUAAGCUUAAGCUAUCAGAUUCGUAAAAACAUAAGAUAACAGCUAUGUACAAACUGAAAUCUACGAAAUUUCAGCCAAGUAAAUGAUGCACAUUUAGACCAAAACAGAGGAGGAGGUAAUUACAUCCAUGAAUUUGUUCAUGUUCUAUCCUAUGUCAAGAUAUCACGAGAAGAGAGACAACAACUAAAACCAACUGGAAGCACACCAAAUAGACAAGAAGAAGAACUACAGGUCUUGUCUACUUCACAUUAUUUCUUGAGCAAAAAUAAAUCUCCCUUCUUCGUUACUAACUUUAGAAAACACCAGUCCCAAACAAAACAAACGCAGAGAAUCGAACAACCGACUUAAUCGUUUAGGAACUAAUGCAUAUUAAGAUCAAUCCGAUAGAUUCAAAGCAAAAUGAUAAUGAAGUAACACGCUACCAAAAAAAAAAAUUGAAAACAGGGGAAAUAUUUUACCAUUCCCAAAACUUGGUUAAUUCAGGGAGAGAGCUUUUAACGUGCUAAUAUUCAUCAAAUCAUGUAAAAAUGUUUAACAUACAGAUAUCUGGGCAGCAAGUACGUUCCAAACCAUUUAACUUAAAGAUUUUUGGCUAAAAGGUGAACGCGAUCAACUAAAAGCUAACAAAAUGGCGCAAUGAGACAGAUUAGGAUGACUCUAAUGGUCUUAACUGUAUGUGUUUAGACAAAUAUAACUUAGACGAGGCAUGUCCAUGUCAUAAUACUAUCUGGCAGCAAACGACAAAACAGUACCAACGAUUCCUGGGAAAUGGCACAACCGAACUAAACCUGGACAACCUCUAAUAACAAAAGGGAAAAUCGAAUGAAUAUAAAUGAAAGAAUCAUUCAUUCUGCAAGACGAUCAUAACAAAUUAACCUCCACUAAUCCAGGCAGCAACUAUUGAUCUGUACUCGAAAAUAAGCGUAAGAAUAAUAGAACAAAGAUUUGUCUAACAUAAUGAGGUUCUAUAACAAUGAACAUUCAAACCAUUUUGAAUAAAAUGAAACAGUGAUUCAACUAAUUUUCAGAAUAAGAUAAGUCAUGGCGAAAAUAAGACACUGAUUCAAAUUAGCAGUUCACUAUUUCACAUACAACAACUCAAAGCAUUUUGAUUCGUAACAAACAAGAUAAAGGAGAAAAAGUAACAAAAAUGUACCUCUUUUGGGGCAGCAAACAAGAGCUUUGACGUCAAG
rnacentral:lncRNA from 1 species